GGAGAGGUACCCAAGUGGCUGAAGGGGCGGGUUUGCUAAACCUGUAGGGUGGAUUUUUUCCGCCGCGAGGGUUCGAAUCCCUCCCUCUCCGCCA
rnacentral:tRNA from 3 species